AGUGGCGAGCGAAACCGGAUGAGGCCAAACCGCAGGCGUGCAAGACCCGGCAGGGGUUGCGCAGGCGGGGUUGUGGGAUCUCUUGUGACCAGUCUGCCGGCUGGUCGGCGAGUCAGAAACCGUUGGCGUAGGCGAAGGACAUGCGAAAGGUCCGGCGCAGAGGGUAAGACCCCCGUAGCCGAAACGUCAGAAAGCGAGUCCGAACAGGGCGGUUUCAGUAGCACGCUCAAGACCCGAAGCGGAGUGAUCUAGCCAUGGGCAGGUUGAAGCGGAGGUAAGACUUCGUGGAGGACCGAACCCACCAGGGUUGAAAACCUGGGGGAUGACCUGUGGUUAGGGGUGAAAGGCCAAUCAAACUCCGUGAUAGCUGGUUCUCCCCGAAAUGCAUUUAGGUGCAGCGUCGCGUGUUUCUUGCCGGAGGUAGAGCACUGGAUAGGCGAUGGGCCCUACCGGGUUACUGACCUUAGCCAAACUCCGAAUGCCGGCAAGUGAGAGCGCGGCAGUGAGACCGUGGGGGAUAAGCUCCAUGGUCGAGAGGGAAACAGCCCAGAGCAUCGACUAAGGCCCCCAAGCGUACGCUAAGUGGGAAAGGAUGUGGAGUCGCUCAGACAACCAGGAGGUUGGCUCAGAAGCAGCCAUCCUUGAAAGAGUGCGUAAUAGCUCACUGGUCUAGUGAUUCCGCGCCGACAAUGUAGCGGGGCUCAAGCGUACCGCCGAAGUCGUGUCAUUGCGAUAUCAGUGAGAAUGCAGGCAUGAGUAGCGAUUCACACGUGGGAAACGUGUGCGCCGAUUGACCAAGGGUUCCUGGGUCAAGUUGAUCUGCCCAGGGUAAGUCGGGACCUAAGGCGAGGCCGACAGGCGUAGUCGAUGGACAACCGGUUGAUAUUCCGGUACCCGCCGUGCCGCGACAGACAUCGAGCCCUCCACGGCGAAGUGGAUGAUCCUAUGCUGUCGAGAAAAGCCUCUAGCGAGUUGCACGGCGGCCCGUACCCCAAACCGACUCAGGUGGUCAGGUAGAGAAUACCGAGGCGUUCGGGUGAACUAUGGUUAAGGAACUCGGCAAAAUGCCCCCGUAACUUCGGGAGAAGGGGGGCCGCUUCCGGUGACGGGUCUUGCACCCCGAGCUGGGGGCGGCCGCAGAGACCAGCGAGAAGCGACUGUUUACUAAAAACACAGGUCCGUGCGAAGCCGUAAGGCGAGGUAUACGGACUGACGCCUGCCCGGUGCUGGAACGUUAAGGGGACCGGUUAGCUCCAUUUCGGUGGGGCGACGCUGAGAACUUAAGCGCCAGUAAACGGCGGUGGUAACUAUAACCAUCCUAAGGUAGCGAAAUUCCUUGUCGGGUAAGUUCCGACCUGCACGAAUGGCGUAACGACUUCUCGGCUGUCUCAACCAUAGGCCCGGUGAAAUUGCACUACGAGUAAAGAUGCUCGUUUCGCGCAGCAGGACGGAAAGACCCCGGGACCUUUACUACAGUUUGAUAUUGGUGUUCGGUUCGGCUUGUGUAGGAUAGCUGGGAGACCGUGAAGCCGUCACGCCAGUGGUGGUGGAGUCGUCGUUGAAAUACCAGUCUGGUCGUGCUGGAUGUCUAACCUGGGUCCGUGAUCCGGAUCAGGGACAGUGUCUGAUGGGUAGUUUAACUGGGGCGGUUGCCUCCUAAAGGGUAACGGAGGCGCCCAAAGGUUCCCUCAGCCUGGUUGGCAAUCAGGUGGUGAGUGUAAGUGCACAAGGGAGCUUGACUGUGAGACCGACGGGUCGAGCAGGGACGAAAGUCGGGACUAGUGAUCCGGCGGUGGCUUGUGGAAGCGCCGUCGCUCAACGGAUAAAAGGUACCCCGGGGAUAACAGGCUGAUCUUCCCCAAGAGUCCAUAUCGACGGGAUGGUUUGGCACCUCGAUGUCGGCUCGUCGCAUCCUGGGGCUGGAG
rnacentral:rRNA from 1 species